AGGACUUUGGGCAACGGAUAUUUCGGCUCUGGCAUGGAUGAAGAAGGUAGCGAAAUGCGAUACUUGGUGUGAAUUGCAGAAUCCCGUGAACCAUGGAGUCUUUGAACCCAAGUUGCGCCCCAACCCUUCUGGCGGAGGGCACGUCUGCCUGGGUGUCA
rnacentral:rRNA from 1 species